CACUGACCGGGUGACCAGAGACCCAGAGACCAGACCCCCUCCACGGCGCCCGGGAUUUCGGGGACGGCUUCUCCCAUCGCAAGUUUCAACAGAAAAUGAGAAAUAUCCCCCGACGAUUGGCUGAAAACAUGCAGCAACCACUAUUUUCUUCCUGCCCCUCGUUGAUGAGAGCAUUCGAAGUGACCUCAGCAGGGCAUCCAGGUAUGUCAAGCAUGGUGACAAAGUGUUCAGGUCAGACGGUCUGGGGAAAGGCUCCUGUGUUGUUGAGCCUGCCAAGUUGUGGGUGCAGCAUGGUACCAGGCAGCCCAACCCUGACCUAAAGUAAAUUCCCGGAAGAAGUCUUUCCUGGGUUUUGAAUUUGCAGUAACAGGUGUGAGCAUUCUAGCAGCAGUUUGAUGAUCAUGUAUGAUACUGCAAACAGGACCUACGUUUAAAGAAAAUGGUUGUAGUUAGUAUCAGAGAGCCCUUGCUUUUCAAAACUUCAUAAACAAUGUUACUGUCAUGUCUUUCAUUCAAUAAACAUUUGUUGAUACAUUGGCCUGACAUCAUGUUAAAUGUUACGGAUACAGAGAUGAAGAAAACAGUCAUGGCCCUUGUUCUCUGGGAACUACAACCCAGUUAGGGAGACAAGGUUAAAUGAUCACACUUAAGAGGGCAUAAUUCAGCCAGGUGCAGUGGCUCAUGCCUGUAAUCCCAGCACUUUGGGAGGCCGAGGCGGGUGGAUCACCUGAUGUCAGGAGUUCGAGACCAGUCUGGCCAACAUGAUGAAACCCCAUUUCUACUAAAAAUACAAAAAAUUAGCUGGGCAUGGUGGCAUGUGCCUGUAAUCCCAGCUACUCAGGAGGCUGAGGCAGGAGAAUCGCUUGAACCCAGGAGGUGGAGAGGUUGCAGGGAGCCGAGAUCACACACACCACUGCACUCCAGCCUGGGCAACAAGAGCAAAACUCCGAGAAAAAAAAAAAAAAGUCAUAAUUCAGGCCGGGCACCGUGGUUAAUGCCUGUAAUCCCAACACUUUGGGAGGCCGAGG
rnacentral:lncRNA from 10 species